rnacentral:rRNA from 1 species
CUACGGAGGGUGCAAGCGUUAUUCGGAAUCACUGGGCGUAAAGGACGCGUAGGCGGGUUGGCAAGUCAGAUGUGAAAUCCUACAGCUUAACUGUAGAACUGCAUUUGAAACUGCUAACCUAGAGUAUGGGAGGGGGAGAUGGAAUUAGUGGUGUAGGGGUAAAAUCCGUAGAUAUCACUAGGAAUACCGAAAGCGAAGGCGAUCUGCUGGAACAUAACUGACGCUAAGGCGUGAAAGCGUGGGGAGCAAACAGGAUUAGAUACCCUAGUAGUCC